UACGGGGGGGGCAAGCGUUGUUCGGAAUUACUGGGCGUAAAGGGCUCGUAGGCGGCCAACUAAGUCAUACGUGAAAUCCCUCGGCUUAACCGGGGAACUGCGUCUGAUACUGGAUGGCUUGAGAUUGGGAGAGGGAUGCGGAAUUCCAGGUGUAGCGGUGAAAUGCGUAGAUAUCUGGAGGAACACCGGUGGCGAAGGCGGCAUCCUGGACCGGCAUUGACGCUGAGGAGCGAAAGCUAGGGGAGCAAACGGG
rnacentral:rRNA from 1 species